GCGUGGCUAUUGCUUGGAUCACAGAGUAAGCGCUCCUGGGAAAGGCGAUAGGCUUCCCGGACACUGAAGGCACCUCAUUGGAGACAGAAAACCCCGCCUCCUCUCCACAGUCAAUACUUCAGUGGCAGCUCAAACUUCUGAACUCCAGCAAAGCUACGGAAAUGCAAGUCUGUGCAGAAUACAGACUUCUGGAAAUUUAAAAAAGAAGAAGAAGAAGAAUUGAUGAUUUAUCAUCAGACCACACUUAGGAAGCUUUCAACAAAGGUGAAAUGCAGCCAUUCUUGCACCUGUUGCUGUCUCUGCUGUCUUCCACCAGCAGUCAGAGUGCGGGGUGAGACCAAGGACCCUCUUUCUGCCUCCCCACUGGCAGCCCCUGGGGUCAUUCCUCUCCAGCUUUGAAACAUCAUGCUAUCGUGAAGAACCAUCAUCUGAGAGCUAUGUUAACAGCAUUUGGCUGCAGGCUGUAGCCUGGAGACUCAUAAAACCAUUAAUUAUGACAAGCAAAAUAUCUAGGGCCACGUGUUGGAAUGCACUGGGUGCAGCAUUUCACCCAAAGCCAACAUAAUUCCAUGGUCCCAGGGCACUAAAAGUCCCUAUCACUUUGCAUCACAGAGACUUGGGUCAGGCAUCCCCUCCCCCAAGUGUUAUUCCCAGUAAGCUAAUAAGCAACAAGUAGAGGCCUGGGUCCAUCUCACUUUCCUUUACUGGGCACUGAGGAAACAUAUUAAAACUAAUACCUUGCAACAGAAAAUAAACUUUGAUUAAAAAAUGUAGGGGCGCCUGGGUGGCUCAGUCGGUUAAGUGGCCGACUUCGGGUCAGGUCAUGAUCUCGCGGUCCGUGGGUUCGAGCCCCGCGUCGGGCUCUGUGCGGACAGCUCAGAGCCUGGAGCCUGUUUCAGAUUCUGUGUCUCCCUCUCUCGGACCCUCCCCCGUUCAUGCUCUGUCUCUCUCUGUCUCAAAAAUAAAUAAAUGUUAAAAAAAAAAUU